rnacentral:rRNA from 1 species
UACGUAGGGUGCGAGCGUUUGUCCGGAAUUACUGGGCGUAAAGAGCUCGUAGGUGGUUUGUCGCGUUGUCCGUGAAAACUCACAACUCAAUUGUGGGCGUGCGGGCGAUACGGGCAGACUGGAGUACUGCAGGGGAGACUGGAAUUCCUGGUGUAGCGGUGGAAUGCGCAGAUAUCAGGAGGAACACCGGUGGCGAAGGCGGGUCUCUGGGCCGAUACUGACGCUGAGGAGCGAAAGCGUGGGGAGCGAACAGG